rnacentral:misc_RNA from 1 species
CACCAACCAGCAUUUCAUUAUUUACUUGUGUUUAAAUGUCCCAAAACUUCGAAACUUACUGAAUCACAACAGUAGACCUACCCAUCCUCCUGUAGGCCUAUGGUGUCCACUCCUCACGGCAACCUGGUGAUCUGAGUGUCCUCCGCCUUGUGCCCUGAGGAAGGCUUAGUGCGCCACAGGACAGGGCCGCCACAGGGACACCACAGGACCACCACAGAGUCACCACAGGACCACUAUAGGACUCCCCCUGCCAACCCCCUGCCAGUCCCCUGCCAGAGAGAGGCCAUGGAGGAGGAGGAGAGCACCCAGGAUAUGCUGGACGAUGCAUUCCAAGCUGUCCUUAAUAACAAAAAUAUUGGUCGAUUUGCAAGACAUUCAAGAUUGCAUAAAAGAGCUAACAGAUGUCCACCUCUCUCCCAGGCAAAAGAAAAAAUUGAAUCCAGAACAAACAAACCCACACACACCACCACCACCACCACCACAUCCACCACCCCUCCUCUUAACCUCUCCCCACCCCCCUCCCCAGUCCUCCACUACCACCACCACCCAGCUAUGACCUCCAGAAAGCUCAAACAACAUUCAGUCUCCACACCUGACCUCCAUAGCAAGGUCGCGCCAGGUCGAGGUCACGUCAACUCAAAGGUCGCGAGGGCAGUUGAUUUUCUGGCGAAUUUAGAGAAGGAGAAUGUUAGUGGCAGGUUCCUCUCUUCCUCCUCUUCCUCUUGUGGUUUGUCUUCUUCUUCUUCCAUGUCUCAUCUUCCUUCCUCCUCCUCUUCCUCUUCCUCUUCCUCUUCUGUUAGUCUGUCUUCUUCUUAUCCAUUCUCUCAUGCUACUACUACUACUACUACUACUACUUCUGCUUCUUCCUCUUCCUCUUCCUCUCGGCCUCCACUAAGGGAACUCCUCCCCCCCACCCCCCAUGAACCCACAACCACCACCACUACCUUCCAGUCGAGGUUUUCAAGAUGGAAGUUUAGAAAUACGACUACUACUACUACUACUGCUACUACUACUGCUACUGCUACUGCUACUGCUACUGCUACUACUACUGCUACUACUACUCCAUUUCCUCCUACUCCUACACCUUCUACUGUCUUAUACCGUAGCACGCCACUGAUUAAAUCGCGACAGACGGACAGACACACAGACAGACUGACAGACAAACAGACGCACACACACACAGCCACACACACUGAUAGGCACACACACACACAGGAGGGUAAGACGCACACACACACACACACACACAAACACAAACACAAACACAAACACACGCACACACACAAACACAAACACAAACACACGCACACACACACAAACACAGCCCAGAAAGGAGACAGCCCAUCUUAUGGACACCCCAAGGCCCCUUCCAGCUCCCUCUCACCAGCCCCAGCCCCACCCACACCCCCAGCCCCCUCCCACCCCACUUCCUCCCCCUGCAUCUAACAGUUUGGUGGUUAACGGCAAAAUUUAUCAAAAAUUAAGACUUCUCGGCCGCGGUGGAUCCUGUAAAGUACAUGCGGUAUUUGAUGAAGAGAGCGGUGAGAUGCGAGCAGUGAAGGUGGUGAAUCUGGAGGGAGUGGACCAAGAGACUAUUAACUCCUACAGGAAUGAGGUGGCCAUCCUCAAGAAGCUCCAAGGCUGCUCCAGGGUCAUCCAGCUCUUUGACUUUGAAGACAGCCCCACCCACCUCUCGCUAGUGAUGGAGAAAGGAAGUAAAGAUUUUGCCUCCAUCUUGAGUGAGUGUCGAAGUGGAGGAGGCGCACCCAUUCCAUACUUCACCAUCCAAUAUUACUGGCAGGGGAUGUUGAGGGCCGUCCACCAGAUACAUGGGCAUGGCAUCAUCCACUGUGACCUGAAGCCGGCCAACUUCCUGAUAGUGGACAACACAGUGAAGCUCAUCGACUUCGGCAUCGCUUCCUCCGUCCCCAAAGACAUGACCAGCGUGGUGAAGGACAGCCAGGCCGGGACAUUUAACUACAUGAGUCCCGAGUCACUGCAGGACAUAGAGAGAGGCUCCAUUGUGUGUAAUCCAGUCAAGGGCAAGCCAGCCAUCAAGAUCAGAGUAAAGUCGGAUGUAUGGUCUCUGGGCUGCAUACUCUACAACUUCGUGCACGGGAGGACACCAUUCCAGCACAUCACCAACGUCAUCACCAAGCUGGCCACCAUCUCCAACCCCAACACCGUCAUCACCAUCCCCCCCACCAAGCACCCCCACCUUGAUGACGUUCUGAGGGCGUGUCUCCAGCAUGACCCCCUCAAAAGACCAUCCAUUGAAGAACUGUUGGCUCACCCUAUGCUUACUGAAUGAAUGGUGUUGAAUGGUGUUGUAAGGUGUUGAGUGGUGUUAGGUGGUGUGUGGUUUUGUGGUGGUGAGUGGUGUUGAAGUGGUGUUGUGGUGGUGGUGGUUUUGUUACUACUGCUACUGCCACCGCCACCACCACCACCACUACUACUACUACUACUACUACCACCACCACCACCACCACCACCACCAUGAUAAUAAUAAUAAUAUUCAUUGCUAUGUACAUAAUUAUUACAUAUUUGCAAUUGUAUAUAGUUCAUACAGUGCUUUCAAGGAUUAUAUUAUCAUUAUUUGAGUUAUAUUUAUACAUUUUAGUAUUAGAGAGAGAGAGAGAGAGAGAGAGAGA